AACGCACAUUGCGCCCGCUAGUAUUCUGGCGGGCAUGCCUGUUCGAGCGUCAUUUCAACCCUCAAGCACUGCUUGGUGUUGGAGAAGUAUGGUCUCCGCCGUACCCUCCGAAAAUCAGUGGCGGACUCACCUAGAUUCCGGGCGCAGUAGAGAUGCGACGCCUUGGAGGUCUGGUGUGCUCUAGCCGUUAAACCCCCAAAUUCUUAAGGUUGACCUCGGAUCAGGUAGGAAUACCCGCUGAACUUAA
rnacentral:misc_RNA from 1 species